GCAUGUUUUGCAGAGAGGAGGGCAGUGGGAGAUUGAGGGUGGUCGUUUCUCUAAAGCUGUUAAAUACACAUGCAAUAGGAUGGCGUUUUAGAAAUAGGAAAGAUUAUCGAAUCAAUACAAUCCAGGCAUUGUAUAAAGAAACCUUUGAGGCUUGUAAAACAAAAUGCUGUUUUGAAUUUUACUGGGCAGAAAAAUGUAGUGCCUUGAAACCUCCCAAGUUUGCUUUUACAUAGUAUGAAGGUCAGUUGAUUCUUUUUGAGGGAGAAUUUGAUAAGGAAAUAAGGGGAAAUGAGGCAGACUAACUUAAAUUCAUCAGAUAGAGAAAAUGCUGAUUUAAACUAGGUGGCGAUUGAGAGUUAUUUUAAGCAAAAAUGGCCCCUGGCUCAGUCUCUCUUUUUUAAAGUUUUGAUGAACUUAAUUUUUUAAAAAAACUGCUUUGCCUUUUGGGAAACUCAGCCUUCAAAAAAUACACUUAAAAACUGGAUAUUUAUUAUAGAAUUUAGUCAAUAUUGUCUAUCAUUGAUUAGGCAAAUGUAGCCAUGAUCGCAUGCUAGAAGAAUAUUUUUAUUUUCAUAAAGCAAUGUAAACAAUACAAAACAGCAGAAAAAUGCUUUCUAUUUACACAAAAUCAAUGUAAACGAUACUAACAAAGCAUAACGCAGAUGAAGUGCAGAGGUUUACAGCCAUCUCAGUCUAGCUUUUCUUUUUACUUACAUUUUGUGCUUUGCAUGCAUGUAAAAAAAUGCUCAUUUAUAACUAUAAAUAUAUGAAAGUUAGGUAUACUAACGCCAUCCAAGCUAUCUGUAUAUGUUAUACAGUAUCUGCCCGUGUUAAAGUAAUCAAGAAACUUUAAGUAAAAGGUACUAAUUAUUUGAUAACUAUAUUAAUUGGUAUAUGCUUUGUCUGAAUUCCUGUUGAUCCUUUGACAAAACCAACAGUAAUUUUGCUUGAUAGCAGUUGAUAUACUAUAUUAUACACUGUUGAGGGUAUCUAAUGGAUUGCUCAAAUUGCAUUUUUUUGCCCUUUUUGGUCUUUGGUGUGCUGAAAAACUCUACACUUAUAACCAUUUAAAUGAUAAAUUUUAUUAACCCAUUAUUUGUGAUGGUAUAGUGGGCAUUUUCCAUUAUCAUUUUUUUAAAAAAAUACUGCUGAUAAUACUGACAAAUUCUAAACUGAUUUUCUACUCCUUUGUUUUCCUGCACAAUUUGCUGGGUCCCUAGAAAGUAAAAAAUGCUUCCCAGUUUUUUGUUUUGUAGAAUACCUUUAUUAUAUGGAGAUUUUAUGUUAGUUUCUGAUGUUCUCAAGUUGGAUAUCAGUUGUAGAUCUGCUAGUAAAAUUCACUUUUUAAAAGCACUGGAUGUCAACUGAUAGCUUGUUGGAUUCCAUCAGUAACCUCAUUCCAAAACCAGCUGGAGGUUUGCACCAAGUCCAGAAAAUAAGGUCUGCUUUGUAAGCCUAGCAUCACCAUUAAAUCAGAACUGCUGUGAUAGAUUUUACUUCUUUUAUGUGGGUUAAGAUGCCCCUUAUGAUUUGGGGAAUAUUUUUUUCCUAUGUAUGCUCAGCAGUUAGUGCUACAUUGCUGAACUGUGCGUUCAGAACAAUAGCAAUAUAUAGCUAUAACUAUAAUAUAUAUAUAUAGCUAUAAACUAAACUAGAAAAAGGGACCACUUUACAAAAUGCUGGUAAAUAUCAGUACCCCAGCAUUUUUAAGGGCUCUCAGGGAUGGAGAGCCAAUAUGUACCAGGCUUAUAUAAUUAAUAAUGGGAAUAACCCACAAUUGUUUUUUUAAUAUAUAUACUAACUUAAUUUACACUGACAUGCUUUAUGACAACUUCUUGUACAUUGGAUUGUUCCCUAAUAUCUUUAAAAACACUCAAAAGCAUAGGUAUAUUUUAAAAGGUAAACAAGUUCACGUUUCAAAAAUGUGUACCGUAGAAACUUGGAAAUUUCCAUACUUUACAUGCAUAGCUGCAGCUAUUUAGAACCUAUUAUUAGCAUAAUGAAAUAUAUUAGGAAUAAAAUAAUCAUUAACUCAUGUAUUAACAUAGGUAUGAAGUAGCAAAUAUAUCUGAUUGAAAACACCUGUGUUGAGUCACAGGUGAACAACUGAGGGCAGGUGUUCUGAGCUAUGCAGCCAUCCUGUUUGCCAUGCAUCACACAACAGCUUUUUGUAACUGUUAGUUUGAGAAGGUUGAGUAAGUUUGAAUGAUCUUUCAGGGAGCAUAGGGCACUUAAAAUUGGUUCAGGGUUGGUGGCAGAAGGUGAAAGUUAUCUACUUGACAAUGUAGAGAGGCGUAGUAUACUCUUGUUGUGUUUACGUCUCUUAUCCAGACCUUUUGAAAAUUGCCACUCCUGCCAUUGCACUCGCCUUUCCAAUAUACCAUCCAAGUUAAUGUUUUCCUCUCUCUGGUUUGGGCAUGAAGUUGACAAUAACAAUCAAACAACUUUAUUAUUUAUACCCUGCCAGGCUGGGUUGCCCCAGCCACAUCUGAAACACAUCUGGACUUGAUUAUUUUAAUAUGGGGUCAGGUAUCUCCCACUUCCUUACGUUUUCUUCUGCAUUCCAGUACUGCUCAUCAGACCCUCAUGGGUCCCCUCUGCUCUUCACAGGUUUAGGAAGUUAAAACAUGUGUAAGGCUUACUCCUUUUAGGAAUUAAAGCACUGUCCAUACACUCAUUAAAUACCCAAAAGCUUUCCUUGCAGAACAGAUGACAAAAAGAAUAUAUGCAAACAUUCACAAGACAGAUGCUUUUCCAAGCAUAAGCUCUGCUUUACUUAGAAAUGCUAGAGCUUCUUGCUAUAAAUCAAAAACUGUCUCUCCCUCUUUCACCCUGUACUUCACUAUAGAAUUUACUAUAGAGAGGCCACUUUUUCUCCGCUUUCAUUUCGGCCAGAACCUUUUGCUCUUCAAGGAGCAAAUGAUUGAGGUCCCCAUCCUGCUGCUCCAUUAAUUAGAUAUUCGACGGCACACUUGGCUUCUGGUGUGUUCGUGAUGUUCUCCCUGCGUUGCUUGGAUGUAAACAGUAGGACUUCAUAUGUCUACGUUCUCUACGUUAUCAAAAGCUUUCCUUAACCUUUCCUUAAUGUUAAACGCCACAAGUGUAGAUCUGCCCCAAGAAAAUUGCAGCCGCCUUGUUGGACUGCAAGAAGACCAGCAGCAGGUUAUUCUUUUAGCCUCUGUGGGCAUGGGGUUUUUUGCACUGGUACAGCAUGCCCAGCUUGAUCAGGUGCCCAGCAGCAUUGCCACAUAGCAGCAGUGUCACUGGAUCCUUUGCACUUUUAAGUCCAGGGGCUGCCCUCUCUGCUCUGGUGAUAUAGGUGCGCUCAGGCAUCUUCCAGAACAGGCCCAUCUUGUCUCUGUUGAAGGCCUACUCUGGAAGAUAGGCCUUCUGCAGCAGCCUCUUCAGCUGCAAUUUCUAGAGGGUUUUUUCCCCCUCUCGCACCCCCACCAUAUGUGGAACAUCGUUCCUUCUGCUGUGUUACAUCUCCAACAUAAGUUGGAUUUUAAUUUGUACAUUUUAGCAAGUCUGGUUGGGGUCAUGUACCACCUGUACAUAAUUUUCAUUAUAUUUUCCUUAACUGUAAGAAGCGGCAAAUCUAAUAAUGUGCCUCCACAGCUUUCCCCACUGUUCCAUUUGAAUUGGGUAUCCAAAGUCCUGAGCCCAUUUCGUCAUUACUUCCUCUAUUUCCUCAACUUUUAAUUCCCAUUACAGCAGUAAAUUGUAAAUUUUUGAUAUUUUCCUUGUAUUCUGUAUAAAAAUUGUUCUAGUUUAGAUUCUUCCCCCCCCAGCCCAUUUUUUUUGUCUGAAAUAAAUAUGUCCUGUAAUUGAUAAUAAUUGCAGCCGACUGGUACAAUGAUCUCUUAACUUCUUCAUAAGGUUUCAGUUUCAAAUGACCUUCUUAUAGAAGCUGUUUGUAGGUGGUCCAAAUUCCCCCAUUUAAAAAAUAAUUCCUUUUUAAAAAAUUAUUUUUACCGAGAACACCCCCAGUGGUGAUAGCCACCACGCUGUCUUGGGCUCUAACAACCUCUGGUAUUUUGUCCACACUUUAUAUAAUGCAUUCCUAAUUAUAUGAUCGGUAAACCCUUUUUGUUUUGGCCUUGUUAUACCCAAGAUACGCGUGCCAGCCGUGCAUGUUAUUCCAGCCCUCUGUCCAAAAUAUCUGUAUUUUCUAGUAACAUCCAGUCUCUGAUCCAACAUAGGCUUAAGGCUUCAUAAUAGAUUCUUAGGUCUGGAAAUUCGAAGCCCUCCCCCAUUUCUUUUUUGUCUGUUAAUAAUUUGUAUCUUAUACGUGGCUUCUUUCUCUGUCAAAUUAAUUUAGUUAAAUCUUUCCUCCAUGUUUCAAAGCACUCCAUUCUCCCUUUAAUAGGAAUCAUUUGAGAAAGAAAUAGCAUUUUUGAGAGUAUAUUCAUUUUAAUUACAGAGAUUCUGCCCCAUAGUGUCAAUUGUAGCCUAGACCCAAUAUCUGUAUCAUUUUUAAUUUCUUUCCAAAUUCUUUUGUGUGUCUUCAAACAGAUUGGUGUUUUUCAUUGUUGUUUAAUUGUGUCCGACUCUUCGUGACCCCAUGGACCAAAGCACGCCAGGCACUCCUGUCUUCCACUGCCUCCCGCAGUUUGGUCAAACUCAUGCUGGUAGCUUCGAGAACACUGUCCAACCAUCUUGUCCUCUGUCGUCCCCUUCUCCUUGUGCCCUCCAUCUUUCCCAAAAUCAGGGUCUUUUCCAGGAAGUUUUCUCUUCUCAUGAGGUGGCUAAAGUAUUGGAGCCUCAGCUUCAGGAUCUGUCCUUCCAUUGAGCAUUUUUGUUCUUUCAUAGUGAUGUCAAUUCCUAGGUAUUUGGCUUUCUUAACAAUUAGUAGGUCUGUUUUUUCUUGUAUUUCUUUUUUCUCAGGGUCCUGCAUAUUUUUGACUAUUAAUUUCGUUUUAGAUCUGUUAAGUUUAAACCCUGAGGUCUUACCAAAUUCUGUCUUUUUUUCUAGUUUUUGGAACACUUCUGGUUGUUCCACCGUUAAUAUUAAAGAGUCUGCAAAAGCUUUCAAUUUGAAUGAUUUCUCCCCAAUGAUAUCCCUUGUAUUCCUUGGUCUUGUCUUAUAUCCAGUGUGGGUCUUUGUAGGACUAUGAUAAACAAUAAAGGGGAAAGUGGACAGCCCUGCCUGGUCCCUUUUUCUAUCUGGAAAGACUUUGUCUUUUCAUAGUUAAUUUUCAGAUUGGCUUUCUGUUGUUUUUUUUGUGUUUUUUUGUAAAUUGCCGUUAUUCCUCUGGUAAAACAGUCUCCCAUUGCCAUUAAUUCCACAGUUUUCCUCAGGAACUUCCAGGAAACGUUGUCAAACACCUUCUCUGCAUCUACUAAAAUAAAGGCUGCUUUCUUACCUGGAUUUAAAUCUAGAUAUUCAAUAACAUCUAUCACCAUUCUCAUAUUGAUUUUCAUUUGUCUAUCUGGCAAGAAUCUGGCCUGAUCUUCAUUAAUAAUAUCUUGUGAGUACUUUUUUAAAUCUAUUGGCCAGAAUUUCUGCAUAUAUUGUUAGCAUAGAAUUCCCACAUAGUCAUUUUUAGCAAUGAGAUUGGUUGAUAGUUGUCCUCAGACAAUGACUAAACCUGCCUCGUCGGUAAUGACAUGGUCUGGUCUUAGCAUAACUCCUCCUCCUGCCCGUAAUCACUGAGAUCGGGUGUCCCAAUACAUCCCCCCCCCCGUAGAACCUGCCCCAGCCAUUCUAUUGGCUGAGGCCCACUCCCAGGCAGCCCUGACCCUUCCCCUUAAAAAGCAAAAUACAAACUAAAUAAUAACUUAACAGAAUAAUAAAAAUAAAGCAAGAAACAAUAGUCCUAAAAUUAAACUACUCCCCACUCUGACUAAAUACUUAUCCCACCCCAAGCAG